UACGUAGGUGGCAAGCGUUGUCCGGAAUUACUGGGUGUAAAGGGUGCGCAGGCGGGACUGCAAGUUGGAUGUGAAAUUUCGAGGCUUAACCUCGAAACUGCAUCCAAAACUGUAGUUCUUGAGUGAAGUAGAGGUAGGUGGAAUUCCGAGUGUAGCGGUGAAAUGCGUAGAUAUUCGGAGGAACACCAGUGGCGAAGGCGACCUACUGGGCUUUAACUGACGCUGAGGCACGAAAGCAUGGGGAGCAAACAGG
rnacentral:rRNA from 1 species